rnacentral:rRNA from 1 species
AUUGAACGCUGGCGGCAUGCCUUACACAUGCAAGUCGAACGGCAGCACGGGAGCAAUCCUGGUGGCGAGUGGCGAACGGGUGAGUAAAGUAUCGGAACGUGCCCAGUCGUGGGGGAUAACGUAGCGAAAGUUACGCUAAUACCGCAUACGAUCUAUGGAUGAAAGCGGGGGAUCGCAAGACCUCGCGCGAUUGGAGCGGCCGAUAUCAGAUUAGGUAGUUGGGGGGGGAAAGGCUCACCAAGCCGACGAUCUGUAGCUGGUCUGAGAGGACGACCAGCCACACUGGGACUGGGAGACGGCCCAGACCCCUACGGGAGGCAGCGGUGGGGAAUUUGGGACAAUGGGCGAAAGCCUGAUCCAGCCAUGCCGCGUGCAGGAUGAAGGCCUUCGGGUUGUAAACUGCUUUUGUACGGAACGAAAAGGUUUGGGCUAAUAAGCUGAGCUCAUGACGGUACCGUAAGAAUAAGCACCGGCUAACUACGUGCCAGCCGCCGCCGUAA